UUGCACUGCAAGAAAAAAAAUAAAAUAAUGGAAGAGGCUUGAGAGCUUAUUAUCAUGAAAGUUUUGAGUUCUGUUUGAUUCCUUCUUAUUAUCUGCCUUGGAGUUGAUCUUUGCAUUGGACUGGCCUAAUUUUGACUUUGGAUCAGUUCAAUUUUGACUUUGGAUUAGCCUAGAUCGAGCUUCAGAUUUGGCCUAGAUUUGGCUUCAGAUUGGUCUGGAUCC
rnacentral:lncRNA from 1 species